rnacentral:rRNA from 1 species
UACGGAGGGUGCGAGCGUUGUUCGGAAUCACUGGGCGUAAAGGGCGUGUAGGCGGUCCGCUAAGUCUGAUGUGAAAGCCCGGGGCUCACCCCCGGAAGUGCAUUGGAAACUGGCGGACUCGAGUCCCGGAGAGGAGAGUGGAAUUCCUGGUGUAGCGGUGAAAUGCGUAGAUAUCAUCAGGAACACCAGAGGCGAAGGCGGCUCACUGGGUCUCUUCUGACGCUGAGGAACGAAAGCUAGGGGAGCAAACGGG